GCUUCUUGUUUCCCGGGUUUUUAAAGUUUUUGAUCUGCUCAGGAUGAACGCUGGCGGCGUGCCUAAUACAUGCAAGUCGAGCGAACUGAUUAGAAGCUUGCUUCUAUGACGUUAGCGGCGGACGGGUGAGUAACACGUGGGCAACCUGCCUGUAAGACUGGGAUAACUCCGGGAAACCGGAGCUAAUACCGGAUAACAUUUUUUCUUGCAUAAGAGAAAAUUGAAAGAUGGUUUCGGCUAUCACUUACAGAUGGGCCCGCGGUGCAUUAGCUAGUUGGUGAGGUAACGGCUCACCAAGGCAACGAUGCAUAGCCGACCUGAGAGGGUGAUCGGCCACACUGGGACUGAGACACGGCCCAGACUCCUACGGGAGGCAGCAGUAGGGAAUCUUCCGCAAUGGACGAAAGUCUGACGGAGCAACGCCGCGUGAGUGAUGAAGGCUUUCGGGUCGUAAAACUCUGUUGUUAGGGAAGAACAAGUACAAGAGUAACUGCUUGUACCUUGACGGUACCUAACCAGAAAGCCACGGCUAACUACGUGCCAGCAGCCGCGGUAAUACGUAGGUGGCAAGCGUUAUCCGCAAUUAUUGCGGCGUAAAGCGCGCGCAGGCGGUUUCUUAAGUCUGAUGUGAAAGCCCACGGCUCAACCGUGGAGGGUCAUUGGAAACUGGGGAACUUGAGUGCAGAAGAGAAAAGCGGAAUUCCACGUGUAGCGGUGAAAUGCGUAGAGAUGUGGAGGAACACCAGUGGCGAAGGCGGCUUUUUGGUCUGUAACUGACGCUGAGGCGCAAAAAACUGAGGAGCAAACAGGAUUAGAUACCCUGGUAGUCCACGCCGUAAACGAUGAGUGCUAAGUGUUAGAGGGUUUCCGCCCUUUAGUGCUGCAGCUAACGCAUUAAGCACUCCGCCUGGGGAGUACGGUCGCAAGACUGAAACUCAAAGGAAUUGACGGGGGCCCGCACAAGCGGUGGAGCAUGUGGUUUAAUUCGAAGCAACGCGAAGAACCUUACCAGGUCUUGACAUCCUCUGACAACUCUAGAGAUAGAGCGUUCCCCUUCGGGGGACAGAGUGACAGGUGGUGCAUGGUUGUCGUCAGCUCGUGUCGUGAGAUGUUGGGUUAAGUCCCGCAACGAGCGCAACCCUUGAUCUUAGUUGCCAGCAUUAAGUUGGGCACUCUAAGGUGACUGCCGGUGACAAACCGGAGGAAGGUGGGGAUGACGUCAAAUCAUCAUGCCCCUUAUGACCUGGGCUACACACGUGCUACAAUGGAUGGUACAAAGGGCUGCAAGACCGCGAGGUCAAGCCAAUCCCAUAAAACCAUUCUCAGUUCGGAUUGUAGGCUGCAACUCGCCUACAUGAAGCUGGAAUCGCUAGUAAUCGCGGAUCAGCAUGCCGCGGGGGAAAUACGUUCCCCGGGCCUUGUACACACCGCCCGUCACACCACGAAGAGUUUGUAACACCCGAAGUCGGUGGGGUAACCUUUAUGGAGCCAGCCGCCUAAGGUGGGACAGAUGAUUGGGGUGAACUAAAAAAGAAACCCCCCAAUAUAUAAAAAAAGGGAAA
rnacentral:rRNA from 2 species